AAACAGGAUUAGAUACCCUGGUAGUCCACGCCCUAAACGAUGCACACUAGUUGUUGCGAUGCUAGUCAUUGCAGUAAUGCACUUAACAGAUUAAGUGUGCCGCCUGGGGAGUACGGUCGCAAGAUUAAAACUCAAAGGAAUAGACGGGGACCCGCACAAGCGGUGGAGCAUGUGGUUUAAUUCGAAGAUACACGAAGAACCUUACCUGGCCUUGAUAUCCUAAGAAUCCUGUAGAGAUACGGGAGUGCUAGUUUACUAGAACUUAGAGACAGGUGCUGCACGGCUGUCGACAGCUCGUGUCGUGAGAUGUUGGGUUAAGUCCCGCAACGAGCGCAACCCUCGUGAUUAGUUGCUAACAGUUCGGCUGAGCACUCUAAUCAGACUGCCCUCGUAAGGAGGAGGAAGGUGAGGACGACGUCAAGUCAUCAUGGCCCUUAUGGCCAGGGCUACACACGUGCUACAAUGGCUAGGACAAAGAGACGCGAUACUGCGAAGUGGAGCAAAUCUUAAAACCUAGUCUCAGUUCGGAUUGAAGUCUGCAACUCGACUUCAUGAAGCUGGAAUCGCUAGUAAUCGUAGAUCAGAUAUGCUACGGUGAAUG
rnacentral:rRNA from 1 species